rnacentral:rRNA from 1 species
UUUGGUACGAGUUGAGACUCGUAGCAGAUAGCUCAGUAACACGUGGCCAAACUACCCUAUCGAGCACGAUACUCUCGGGAAACUGAGGCUAAUAGUGCAUACGGCUCGGAGUCUGGAGUGACUCGAGUCAGAAACGCUCAGGCGCGAUAGGAUGUGGCUGCGGCCGAUUAGGUAGACGGUGGGGUAACGGCCCACCGUGCCAGUAAUCGGUACGGGUUGUGAGAGCAAGAGCCCGGAGACGGUAUCUGAGACAAGAUACCGGGCCCUACGGGGCGCAGCAGGCGCGAAACCUUUACACUGCACGCGAGUGCGAUAAGGGGACUCCAAGUGCGAGGGCAUAUAGUCCUCGCUUUUCGUGACCGUAGGAUGGUCACAGAAUAAGUGCUGGGCAAGACCGGUGCCAGCCGCCGCGGUAAUACCGGCAGCACGAGUGAUGACCGCUAUUAUUGGGCCUAAAGCGUCCGUAGCUGGCCACGCAAGUCCAUCGGGAAAUCUCUCCGCUCAACGGAGAGGCGUCCGGUGGAAACUGUGUGGCUUGGGACCGGAAGAUCCAGAGGGUACGUCUGGGGUAGGAGUGAAAUCCCGUAAUCCGAGACGGAC